rfam:Schistosoma curassoni strain Dakar, Senegal genome assembly, scaffold: SCTD_scaffold0007240
GCACUGCUGAGGAGUCCCAAAAUAGGACGAGACGGCCCUCCAGUGC